UACGAAGGGGGCUAGCGUUGCUCGGAAUCACUGGGCGUAAAGAGCUCGUAGGCGGUUUGUUGCGUCGGCUGUGAAAUCCCGAGGCUCAACCUCGGGUCUGCAGUCGAUACGAGCAAACUAGAGUGUUGCAGGGGAGACUGGAAUUCCUGGUGUAGCGGUGAAAUGCGCAGAUAUCAGGAGGAACACCGGUGGCGAAGGCGGGUCUCUGGGCAACAACUGACGCUGAGGAGCGAAAGCGUGGGGAGCGAACAGG
rnacentral:rRNA from 1 species